rnacentral:rRNA from 1 species
UACGUAGGGUCCGAGCGUUGUCCGGAAUUAUUGGGCGUAAAGGGCUCGUAGGCGGUUAGUCGCGUCGGGAGUGAAAACUCAGGGCUCAACCCUGAGCGUGCUUCCGAUACGGGCUGACUAGAGGUAUGCAGGGGAGAACGGAAUUCCUGGUGUAGCGGUGGAAUGCGCAGAUACCAGGAGGAACACCGGUGGCGAAGGCGGUUCUCUGGGCAUUACCUGACGCUGAGGAGCGAAAGCAUGGGGAGCGAACAGG